AUGAAAAGGCUCAAACAGAAGAAGACUAGGACGUGCCACAAAUGGAUGACCUACAGAAUUUAAUGAAAACAUAUUCCUGAUUAAGAAGUAUUUCAGCACAAAAACUUCUCUGCUGAUGUGGCUACAACAGAUUCUGUGAGAUCUUCUGUAACGCCACUGUGUGCUGUGCAUGCUGUGCAGUACCACUGGUAAAAUAUCACCCAUCUCGUGUAGCCAUGUGCUCCAAAGGUUCCUCAGCACCGUGGACGUGAUGGGAUCCAGACCUUGAGCGGUGCUGGGGAGGUUUCAGAAACACCCCAUGCCUCAGGUUCCGCACAAGGGGGAGCACAUUCUACAGGAACAAUUCAGCAAGGACAUGCAGAGAAUAACCCAGACUUGCAAAGCCAGCUCACCAGGCCUUGAAAGUCAGCAUCUUGUUUCUGGGAGCUUCCUACGCUCAGCGUGUGCCUACCAAUACUGCCUGUCUCCUUGACCUGGUGAUUUAUACCACAUCACUCACAACUUAGGGAAAGUGGAGCUGAACAAAGGAAUACGUGUAUUUUUGUUACAUCCAUCAAAAUGGAGAGACUGGUCUGGAGUCUCAUACCAAGCAAAGACCACUGAAUUUGCACUCUAAAAAUGAGACUAGAAUCUGGCCCUUGGUUCCACUCCUCUAGAAAUGACCGAAAACUGCAAUGAUGAUGAUAAUGCUGGUGGUCCCGCUGUUGAGCAACAAUUAACUGUCAUGUACUAACCAGCACUCGGUACCUCCACUUAUGCCGCGUGCUACGUAUGAAGAUUGAGUGCUGUUGCAGGUCAAACCUUUGUAAAAUAAAUAUAAUGUAGAAUAGCUUCUUAUGAAAAACAAGAUUGGAGAUGAAAAGGGAGGAGACUAUUGCCAUGUCUGCCCUGGCAAGUAAUGUGGUACAGCAAGCGUAGCAAAACAUUUGGUGCUGAAAACCCAGUACCUGGAUGCUUCAAGAUUUUAACUUUGGGCUAACAGCUGUAGUUUGGUCCUGUGACCUGCAGUCCUGGAGCAGCCUGGUAGUUUCAUUUGAAACAGGAACCCAUUUGAUGCGUCGUGAGACCACGCUGUGAUGUGGACCAAGGCAUGGGAAGCGGGGGAGUUUGGCAAAUCAGCUUCUAAAGGACACGUUGGAUCUCCUGAACUGAGGUGCCAAGGCAGAGGCACCCUAACUUUGCUAACUGAAUGGGUGAAGAAAACAGGAUUAUUUUUAACCUACUCGCAGAUACCUGAUUUGAUCAAAAAAUACAAGAUGUUAUUUAAAAAUGACUGUAACUCUUUGCAAGGCUGGAUCAUUUGUUUUGUUAAUUUGACAUACAUCCGGCGCAGUUGUCUAACAGCAGUGAUGAGAUAUGGGAGAUUUCUUAAGUAUGUCACAUUAGGAAAUAGACUGUACCCUUCUUUGGUUAUGAGAUGCCGCACAAAUAACAGUAUUUAGCCAUCUGAUUCAGACCAGUGCCAACAGGGUGCACAACAUACCUCUGUUCUUGCAAUUAUAUAAGGUAGUCAGGUUCAAGGCGAAACAGCAAUUUCAUUAUUUUUGGAAGUAUUUGUAGUAGCACAGAUGUGAAUUUAUAGACUUUGAGGGUAAAAAUUGGAAAAAUUCUGGCUUUGGCAUUUCCUCCACCACGUCCUACUUACGAGCACCAUGCAAACCAGCGGAAAAACACCGUUUGGGUCUGAAGAUGUGUGUUUCUGUGAGGCACAAAACGACGAGAGAAAACAAAGGGUAUUUGGUAACCCACCUAGAAUGUCAAAUACUGUCUUCUUCAGAUGAUGACCCUCAAGCUUUGUUUUUCUAUGUAUUUUUUUUAAACCGCUUUUUAACUUCUGCAUUUGAAAGAGGCCCUCAGUUAUAAAAGCCUGUUGCUAAAGUUUGU